rnacentral:rRNA from 1 species
GACGAACGCUGGCGGCGUGCUUAACACAUGCAAGUCGAACGGAAAGGCCCUGCGUUUGUGGGGUGCUCGAGUGGCGAAAGGGUGAGUAACACGUGAGUAACCUGCCCUUGACUUUGGGAUAACUUCAGGAAAAUGGGGCUAAUACCGGAUAGGAGCUCCUGCUGCAUGGUGGGGGUUGGAAAGUUUCGGCGGUUGGGGAUGGACUCGCGGCUUAUCAGCUUGUUGGUGGGGUAGUGGCUUACCAAGGCUUUGACGGGUAGCCGGCCUGAGAGGGUGACCGGCCACACUGGGACUGAGAUACGGCCCAGACUCCUACGGGAGGCAGCAGUGGGGAAUAUUGCACAAUGGGCGGAAGCCUGAUGCAGCAACGCCGCGUGCGGGAUGACGGCCUUCGGGUUGUAAACCGCUUUCGCCUGUGACGAAGCGUGAGUGACGGUAAUGGGUAAAGAAGCACCGGCUAACUACGUG